CGCGGUAUUAUGACCGUGCGAAGGUAGCAUAAUCAUUAGUCUUUUAAUUGAGGGCUGGAAUGAAUGGUUGGACGAGAAGUAAGCUGUCUUUAUUUCAUGGAUUGAAUUUAACUUUUAAGUGAAAAGGCUUAAAUGGGUUAGAGGGACGAUAAGACCCUAUAAAGUUUAUACAUGGAGUUAGUUAAGAGUGAUUUAGGAUAGUAAAGUUUGUUAUUAGCAAGAUGUUUGGUUGGGGCGACUAGAAUAUAAGUUAUAUAACUGUUUUUUAUUUAAGUCAGAGGUAUUUGUUUAUAGUGAUCCCUUUUUAGGAUUAAAGAGUAAAUUACUUUAGGGAUAACAGCGUAAUUUUUUUUGAGAGUUCGUAUCGACAAAAGAGUUUGCGACCUCGAUGUUGAAUUAAAAAUUUCUCUGUGGUGUAGU
rnacentral:rRNA from 1 species